AUAUUAAUAAGCGGAGGAAAAGGAACUAACCAGGAUUCCCCUAGUAACGGCGAGUGAAGCGGGAAGAGCUCAACUUGAAAAUCGGUGUGCCAAGCGGUACAUCGAGUUGUAGUCUCGAGAUGCACCGUCAGCGCGUGACCUCGGUACAAGUCCUUUGGAAUAGGGCGUCAGAGAGGGUGAGAAUCCCGUUCAGGACCGGGAGUUCGCCGCGUACGACGUGCAUUCGAAGAGUCGGGUUGCUUGGGAAUGCAACUCCAAUUGGGUGGUAAAUUUCAUCUAAAGCUAAAUAUCCACGAGAGACCGAUAGCGAACAAGUACCGUGAGGGAAAGAUGAAAAGAACUUUGAAAAGAGAGUCAAAAAGUACUUGAAAUUGCUAAGAGGGAAGCGAUGGCCACCAGUAGGUGCGCCUCAGGAAUUCACCUGUUGUGUCUGUGAAGCGCGACGGUGGAUCUGGGUGCUGCAAAGCCCUGGGUCUGCUCCGAUUUCUUUGCGGGCCGGCGGUGUCCAGUCCUGGGGCGCGGGUCAGCCUCAGUUGAGUUUCUUUGUCGUGGGAGAAUACCGGCGGGAAGAUAGGGGACGCCUUUUCGGAGGCUGCCCUGUUACAGACUGUCGGCUAUACCACGG
rnacentral:rRNA from 1 species